GAUGAACGCUGGCGGCGUGCCUAAUACAUGCAAGUCGAGCGAACGGACGAGAAGCUUGCUUCUCUGAUGUUAGCGGCGGACGGGGGAGUAACACGUGGAUAACCUACCUAUAAGACUGGGAUAACUUCGGGAAACCGGAGCUAAUACCGGAUGAUAUUUUGAACCGCAUGGUUCAAAAGUGAAAGACGGUCUUGCUGUCACUUAUAGAUGGAUCCGCGCUGCAUUAGCUAGUUGGUAAGGUAACGGCUUACCAAGGCAACGAUGCAUAGCCGACCUGAGAGGGUGUUCGGCCACACUGGAACUGAGACACGGUCCAGACUCCUACGGGAGGCAGCAGUAGGGAAUCUUCCGCAAUGGGCGAAAGCCUGACGGAGCAACGCCGCGUGAGUGAUGAAGGUCUUCGGAUCGUAAAACUCUGUUAUUAGGGAAGAACAUAUGUGUAAGUAACUGUGCACAUCUUGACGGUACCUAAUCAGAAAGCCACGGCUAACUACGU
rnacentral:rRNA from 1 species